CCUAGGUGUCACCUAGAUUAGGAUGACUGAUAUAGUACUUGAAGUUAUUAUGAAUAACAAAUAAGAUAACAUUAACCAGUUUCUAGAAGUGUGUCUGAAACACAAUGUGGAUUUAAUAAAAUGCAUUAGGAUGAAGAGUCCUAGGAACUCUUUGGAGACAUGGUACAAAGUCGAAGAGAAGUGCAUGAAAAGACACCAGGAGUUGGAGAAGACAUUAGUUGCUGGACUCAGAGUAUGAGUACAGUCAUGUAGGGCUCCUUAGGAAUUAGGAGAGUACCAAGGAGGAGAUUCAGUUUCUUUUCUAGAUUACAAGAAACCCCCACAACUUCCCAUUGAUACUGUUGCUGAGAACAAAUUGCCAGUAAGAUGAUAUCUACAGAGCAAGGUGUAGGAGUUCUACAUUUGUGCGUAAGCCCAAUUAUACACAGAACUGUGAAUGAUCUAAACUUGGCAAGAGAAAUAAGGUAUCAUUUUACUACCAGCUGCGCACUCCAUGAAGGCAAGAAGUUCUCAUUCUGUCUGAAUGCUGAUUGGCUUCAGUUUAUAAAGAACCCGUUCCCCUGAAGCUGACUUAUUUACCCUUUUAUUUCUUUUCCUAUAAGCCUAUGUUAAACAAAAACUUGCUUGUCACUAGACAUCUUUUGGCUCACAUGAAAAUCACAGAGCAGAAGUGGAGAGAACUACUUUCUUGAUUAAGCAGUUAGAUCAUUUUUCUUAAAAGUGUCUAGGACUGCAUAUGGUCCAGUGCAUCUUUUCCUCCACAAUGGCCUCCAAAACCCUCCUCAGAAUAAAGUCCUUACUUUCUCAGAUAUCUUUUCA
rnacentral:lncRNA from 1 species